rnacentral:rRNA from 1 species
UGGGGAAUCAUGGUCAAUGGGCGAAAGCCUGAACCUGCGACGCCGCGUGAGUGAUGAAGGUCGUAGGGUUGUAAAGAUCUUUCAGCGAGGAAGAUAAUGACGGUACUCGCAGAAGAAGCCCCGGCUAACUCCGUGCCAGCAGCCGCGGUAAUACGGAGGGGGCUAGCGUUGUUCGGAAUUACUGGGCGUAAAGGGUAUGUAGGCGGCCCUUCAAGUCGCGUGUCAAAGUCCAGUGCUCAACGCUGGGUGUGCGCGCGAUACUGACGGGCUUGAGGGCUGGAGAGGUGAGCGGAAUUCCCGGUGUAGUGGUAAAAUACGUAGAGAUCGGGAGGAACACCAGCGGCGCAGGCGGCUCACUAGACAGUUUCUGACGCUAAGAUACGAAAGCGUGGGGAGCAAACA